rnacentral:rRNA from 1 species
CAGUAGCCACGGUAAGACGGAGGGUGCUAGCGUUGUUCGGAAUCACUGGGCGUAAAGGGCGCGUAGGCGGCCUGUUAAGUCGGAUGUGAAAGCCCGGGGCUCAACCCCGGAACUGCAUCCGAGACUGGCAGGCUUGAGACCGGGAGAGGAGGGUGGAAUAUCCAGUGUAGAGGUGAAAUUCGUAGAUAUUGGAUGGAACACCGGUGGCGAAAGCGGCUCUCUGGCCCGGAUCUGACGCUGAGGCGCGAAAGCGUGGGGAGCAAACAGGAUUAGAUACCCGGGUAGUCCCUGUCUCUUAUAC